UCGUGCGCAUUUUCGCUAUUAUGUGUUCUUUUAAUUAAAAUGAUUCUUUUUAAAUCUCUAAUAUUUGCUUCGGCAUUUUUGCUGAUCAGUUCACUUACGAGUAAAUUCCAAUCUCCAAAGAAUGCCGAAGCAAAGUAUUAGAGCAUCUGAAAAAGACAUCAUUUUAUAUUAAAAUUGAACAAGGCAUAAUAUGCGAAAACUGCGAUACGUGGUGGGGUUGCCCGGAGUGCAGGAGCCGGGGCAACCUUUUGUGCU
rnacentral:rRNA from 1 species